rnacentral:lncRNA from 1 species
CCAGGGCUGUGGCCACCCCACACCAACCCCGUGCAGCGUGGCGUCCACGUGCCGGGCCCGACUACCUUCCCGAACCGUGGCGCGAGGCUGGAGCCCCGCAGCCCGGCGCUCCCCGCCCUCCGCCGCGGGGCCCCAGAGCCCGGCCGCCGCGUACUCACCCUCGCGGGUGGAGCGGGGCGGGGCGAGGUAGAUCCGCGCGCAGCUCCGAUCCGCUAGGCGCCAGGACUGGCGGGGCAGCACUGGCGCAGCGGCUCCGCUCCGCUCGGCCCGGUCCCUGUCCCGGGAGCGGGGCCGGCCUGGGAGCAGAAACUGAGGUACAGGAGCGAGAGUCCAUCCUUCCUUCCUGUAUCCUCUUAUCCCGUCGUGACAUUAGGUGACCUAAAUUCGCGGGCCUUUUCUCUACCCGAGGUUGGCCCGGGCGCUCCAAACUGCUGCUUCUGCACCCUCCCAUGCAUACCCUGUCUUAGCCUCGGAUAACUUCUCAGUUUCCGUUCUUGUUGAAGGCGCCAGGCAUCCUGUCUCCAGGGGAAACCCCUUCAAGCCUUUAACCCUGAUUCCUUGGGCUCGGGAAUUGCCUGGACUGAAGAACAACAGAGCAGAAACCACCCAGCAGGCCAGUCCUGUCCAAGAGUCAGCACCGUGUUACCAAGUUCCUAGCGCGAACACUCCAGGGCGCCAAGGAGAGUGUUAGAUCCAGGCCCAGUCCCCGAAGCUUACUCUAGUUGCCGAGAAAGAGAGGGCUUGCUCUUCAAGAAUAAGGCGGCACAGGAUGUGACUAAGUGCAAAAUAUGAAUAACCGACAGUGAGCGCCCAGGGUGCCAGUGAACUGGCAGUUUAAAGUCGUCUUUAGGGGAAGCUGGUGGUCUCUCUCACCUUUUGGGAAACUCCAAUUCAAAAGGAACAAAAUGAAGAGUCGGCCUCCAGCUUCUUCCACUAGUGACUGUUUCCACCUAAAUGAUACUUUGCAUAGGCAGAAGCUCUUUGGCAGCUCACCAGAGCCUGGUUUUAUUUGAAUGGUUCCUUCGGUCUGUCAGUCACCUAUUCAUUCAACAAAUAUUUAUUACGUAUCAUGUCGUGGUCUGAGACAAAGCUGGGAAUAGAGAACACAAUGGCUUUGUCUCGGUGUUGGGCAAGUCAAAAAGAAGGAAGAUUCAUAUUUUGCAAAAGAAAACCUGCCCCAGGAGAAACAGCAACAACUGAUUUGUGUCUGGCAAGCCGGUCCAAGAAAGGGCCCAUCCUCUAAACCUGGCUAAGUCUUCACCAAACUAGGUUCAACGACAAGUUCCCACUUCUUGCUAAGAGCCAUGGAAAAAUCCUGUUGUAAAACUGAACGUAAGCAUCAGCUUUUUUUUUUUUUCCUCCAGGAGAUAUGGGUUCUAAUCCUGCCUCUGCCAUUAAAUAACUUUCCUUUUCUUACUGGGAAAAAAAGAUCAAUGGAAAUAACUGAACUAAAUAAAGG